UGCUGUGGCUGACUGAGGAAGGGGCGGCUGGAUCAUCUGAAUGCAGAGACUCUGCUGAGAGAAGGCGAGCAAAGAGGAGGCCCCGGCAGCGAGAGAGAGACUCUGCCGCCCUGGGAGAUGGAUGUCAUGUAACCAGCACCUUGCGUUGGAGGUCAAGAGAUACACCUGCCAACCUCUGCCCUUCAUCAACCAGCCGCAGUGCCUUAGGAACAUCAUGGGAGCCCCUAGUCUUGAUCUUUGUGUCCACAACACUACAGGUCAGACUGAAGAGUAGCUUUUCAGGAAUCCUCCAUAUGCCUGGCACCAGACUAGGACUGCUGGGACAUCCAGCCUCAUGGACUGAACAAACAACUGCGGGAUUCCUGGGUAUCAGCUACCGUACACAGAGGAGACACAUUAGUCCUGUACCUCACAAGACACAAUCACAGUCCAACACUGAGGGAAGACAGGGCAGGGGCCCAAAGGAAGAAACCAUGGAAGAUGCUGCUGGCUGGCUUGCUCUCUGGAUUCUCAGCUG
rnacentral:lncRNA from 1 species